UACGACGGUGUGUCCAGGAUGUCUGGAAGAUAAAGAAAAAGCAGUGGUGAUAUAGAGGAGUCUGCUAGGAAGCACAAAGCAAUAACCAUGGAAACAAAGGUGAAAAAACUGAGAGAUUGGGCCAAAGUGAAAAGAGGGAAGACUUUGGAUUGUUUUUAUAACAUGAAUUGUUCAACCACUGCCAUAGUUCUAGAGAACAAGGACGAGAUCAUGGAAAAUGUGAAGUCUGCUGUGCCAGUAAAGUCAACAAUAAUAUCCAAAGUCCAUGGUAAAGUGAUAGAGGAGAUGGAGAAACUUCUCAGUGCGUGGAUGCAGGAUCAGCAUCAGUGUAUAUCUGUGUCAAAGACUGCCAGAAUGGACAAAGAAUUAUCUGAUUUACAUAGUCUCUUCUGGUUCUCUGAUGGUGUGAUUCCACUGAGCUUCCUAAAAUCAAUUGUUCAUCUGCUGGAUCAAGUUCAUCUCCUCCUGGGUAACCGCCAUACCAUCUCUCACUGUAUCUCCUCAUACCUUUGCUUGUGCUGUGUCCCCAACAAUGUGCACUCUUGUCCCAAUUCUCCACCCCCUAUUCUUGUUCAUCACAUACCAC
rnacentral:lncRNA from 1 species